rnacentral:rRNA from 1 species
UACGGAGGGUGUAAGCGUUAUCCGGAUUCACUGGGUUUAAAGGGUGCGUAGGUGGGCAGGUAAGUCAGUGGUGAAAUCUCCGGGCUUAACCCGGAAACUGCCUUGAUACUAUCUGUCUUGAAUACCCUGGAGGUGAGCGGAAUAUGUCAUGUAGCGGUGAAAUGCUUAGAUAUGACAUAGAACACCCAUUGCGAAGGCAGCUCACUACGGGAAUAUUGACACUGAGGCACGAAAGCGUGGGGAUCAAACAGG